UAAAAUGUUCUCAAUUCACUCUCUCUCUCUACCAUUGCUGAGAAAACAAUUACAUUUGACCUCCUUUUUCUUUCUCUUCUCUUCCUUUUAUUUUUCUUUAAGUGAAAUAAAAUAGCCACCAGCCAACCAACACUGGCUACACGGUUGGUGAACCACCGGAACAACCCUAAACCACAAGUCACCUAAGGCAUCGGAGAACCAUCAACAAGCGUAGAUGCGACACCAGCAACAGCCAAUAACCACCGUGCCACUGGAGAAAACACAAACUUUACCUGCAAGGUUCUUAAAUAGCUUGUUUCUGAGGUACUAAAAAUGCAAACUAAAAGCCCCACUUGAUUUUCUUCUCAGACUUGUAAUUUUUAAAUUUUAAUUAGUUGAAUAAGAUGUAAAGGUUGAGUUUGUUCAAUUUUAUUUGAAAAAUUGUAGAUUUUCGGUGUAUGUUAUUAACAAAAUGCUUUUUCUAAGGUGCAAUAUUUAAGUGUUUUGUCCACUUUAGAUAACUAUUUUCUUUUCAUAUUUUCCGAGGAGUCUAGAGUGUUUUUUACAUCAAUGUAGGGAUUAUGAGACAUUGUAAAGAUUGUCUAUUUGAUUCCUGGCAAUAUGAAUGUUCAUGGUACUUGAUUUAAUCACCAAAGUUGGUGUUUUUUCCGUUUUGAGAUGAUUAAGUCAAGAGCAUUGAAAUUUCAUACUGUAAAGAACUUAGAUUUUAAUGGUAAAAAGAUUAAAAUGCAUUUGUCUGUCAAGUGCUUCAAUUGCAGCAUUUUACUUUUUAUGUACUUUUUGGUGAAAUUGGAAUCAUUGCGUGUCUGUAGUUUUUAUUCAUGGGGCUGUGUGAUCUCUAUGAUUUCGGCUAGACAGUUCUUACUUUAUCUUGUGGUUGCAGUAUUAUCUCGUGGCUAGUUGUGUUAGUUUAUUUUUCAUUUAGCUUUUGUGUUUGUGAUACUAUUAUCGGUUCUAAGCUGGGGUCUAUCAAAAAUAGCCUCUCUACUUCAUGUGAGGUAGUGGUAGGGUUUGCAUACCCUCUUUCCUCCCCAGACCCUACUAUGUAGGAAUAAACUGGGUAUGUUGUUGUUGUUGUUCUCCCAUUACUGACAAACACCUACUACUCACUCUACAUUGCCGACAAAUACUAACUACGAGCUUGUGAAUAAUUAACUCUUAGUUUAUUCCUCAAAUAGUUGAGUGGUCGCUAAUUUUGCCCUAGCAUCAAUAAUAAUUAUACGCAAUUUGUAGAUGCACAAUAUGAGCUUGUGAGGGAUCCGAUGCUCAGCUUUGCCAAUUAUAUUCAUCUUUGUCAAUUGUAAAAGGUUUUCUUCUUAACUAUUCGGUCUUCUUCCUUGGGUUAUUGUAGAUCUCGAAUUUGAGGUAUGCUUUCUAUUCCAAAUAGACAACCCUGUAAACUUUGGAGCUCCAAUUUACUCAAUUUUUAAGUUGUGUUGGAUUCUCUAACUUGUUUAAUCCUUUCCAACAAAAUACAAAUUGUGAAAGAACAUUUAUGAAACAAAGAUGCUGAGAUAAGCCUUUGGGAUGGGCAAUCCUCUUAUUGAAUGUCACAAUACAUUUUAACUUUAUUUUCCAUGCUUUGGUAAAUAUAACAUAUCAACUUUCUAAUAUCAGUAAGGUAUAAAUAAUGUUUAUAUAUGUUAUUUUACACAUAUACCAAAAAUAUCUUUCUUUUUUUCUUGUUUUGCUAUAGUAGACUAGCACCUCUCUUAAACAAAUAGUUUUUUAUGUGGACAGAGCUCUACUCAGACUAUUUGUGCAACCUGCGUUUAUAAAUUUAUGUCACAGAUACCAAUGGUAAACUAAGAAUGAGAGAAAAUCAAGGGGAAGUCUAAGUAAUAUCAUUUGGUAAGUGUAAAGGUAAUGUCUAUUGGCUGGUUCAUCUUGGGAUCUUAUAGCAAGUAAAGUUUUUAUUUUUUGUUUGUAAGAAAGCAGAUCAAUCAUGAAUAUCAACUCGGGAUAAAGGGCUUUCAUGGGAGGUCUCAUUGAAUCUCAUGGCGGAAAGGAAGGGACAGAUAAUGAAAAAUAACCUGACUGAUUUACGAUCUUACAAUAAAGUGUUGAUGGUUUACUUUCCAGCGUCUGUAUAGUUGAAAAAUAG
rnacentral:lncRNA from 1 species